rnacentral:rRNA from 1 species
UACCAGCAGCUCAAGUGGUGAUCGUUAUUAUUGGGCCUAAAGCGUCCGUAGCCGGUCUGAAAAAUUCUUGGGUAAAUCGGGCAGCCUAACUGUUCGAAUUCUGAGGAGACUGCCAGACUUGGGACCGGGAGAGGCCAGAGGUACUCUUAGGGUAGGGGUGAAAUCCUGUAAUCCUAUGGGGACCACCAGUGGCGAAGGCGUCUGGUCAGAACGGGUCCGACGGUAAGGGACGAAGCCCUGGGGCACAAACCGGAUUAGAUACCCGGGUAGUCCAGGGUGUAAACGCUGCAGGUUUGGUGUUGGGGGUCCUACGAGGGCACUCAGUGCCGGAGAGAAGUUGUUAAACCUGCCGCCUGGGGAGUACGUCCGCAAGGAUGAAACUUAAAGGAAUUGGCGGGGGAGCACCGCAACGGGUGGAGCGUGCGGUUUAAUUGGAUUCAACGCCGGAAAACUCACCGGGGGCGACUGUUACAUGAAGGCCAAGCUGAUGACUUUGCCUGAUUUUCAGAGAGGUGGUGCAUGGCCGCCGUCAGUUCGUACCGCAAGGCGUUCUGUUAAGUCAGAUAACGAACAAGACCCCUACCUUUAAUUGCCAAGUUUCCCUCCGGGGGAACGGAACAUUAGAGGGACCGCUGGCGCUAAGUCAGAGGAAGGAGGGGGCAACGGUAGGUCAGUAUGCCCCGAAUCUCCCGGGCUACACGCGCGCUACAAAGGCUGGGACAAUGAGCUUCGAAGCCGAAAGGCUGAGGUAAUCUCGAAACCCAGUUAUAGUUCGGAUUGAGGGCUGUAACUCGCCCUCAUGAAGCUGGAAUCCGUAGUAAUCGCGGAUCAACAUUCCGCGGUGAAUAUGCCCCUGCUCCU